UACGUAGGGGGCAAGCGUUGUCCGGAAUCAUUGGGCGUAAGGAGCGCGUAGGCGGUCCGGUAAGUCCGCUCUGAAAGUCCGGGGCUCAACCCCGGGAGGCGGGCGGAUACUGUCGGGCUAGAGUCCGGAAGAGGCGAGUGGAAUUCCUGGUGUAGCGGUGAAAUGCGCAGAUAUCAGGAGGAACACCAAUGGCGAAGGCAGCUCGCUGGGACGGUACUGACGCUGAGGCGCGAAAGCGUGGGGAGCAAACAGG
rnacentral:rRNA from 1 species